UAUUGCACAAUGGGGGAAACCCUGAUGCAGCGACGCCGCGUGAGUGAAGAAGCGUUUCGGCGCGUAAAGCUCUAUCAGCAGGGAAGAUGAAAGGACGGUACCUGAGUAAGAAGCCCCGGCUAACUACGUGCCAGCAGCCGCGGUAAUACGUAGGGGGCAAGCGUUAUCCGGAAUUACUGGGUGUAAAGGGAGCGUAGACGGUGAUGUAAGUCUGGAGUGAAAGGCGGGGGCCCAACCCCCGGACUGCUCUGGAAACUAUGUGACUGGAGUGCAGGAGAGGUGAGCGGAAUUCCUAGUGUAGCGGUGAAAUGCGUAGAUAUUAGGAGGAACACCAGUGGCGAAGGCGGCUCACUGGACUGUAACUGACGUUGAGGCUCGAAAGCGUGGGGAGCAAACAGG
rnacentral:rRNA from 1 species